rnacentral:rRNA from 1 species
UACGUAGGGGCGAGCAUUGUCCGGAUUUACUGGGCGUAAAGGGUGAGUAGGCGGUUAUAUAUGUCAGGUGUAAAAAGCUAUGGCUUAACCAUAGUAAGCACUUGAAACUGUAUGACUUGAGUGCAGGAGAGGUAAGCGGAAUUCCUAGUGUAGCGGUGAAAUGCGUAGAUAUUAGGAGGAACACCGGUGGCGAAGGCGGCUUACUGGACUGUAACUGACGCUGAGUCACGAAAGCGUGGGUAGCAAACAGGAUUAGAUACCCCCGUAGU